UACAACAUCCUCCUCCUACCUUUAGUUGAAUAUGCUGCUGCGCGUUUUGUUUGGCAGGGAGCAGAAGUACGUUAGACUGUCUGACCUAACAUUUGAAGCCUUCAUGAGAGAAGUGUGCCUAAAAUUUAACAUAUCAGAAGACAGACAGCUAAAUAUGAAGGUGUAUGACCAGUCUGACACAGAAGUUGACGCAGAGGUUUUUGAAG